rnacentral:sRNA from 1 species
AAUAGCUUGAUUAACAGCAAGUGUUUGCUCAGUUUGAACGAAACCUCCUCGGAAGCUCUCGUCCCCUGCUCUAAUAUCUCUGCUGCUUUAAGCACUAGUUCUGCUGGCUUUAGCCAGUCGUUUUAAAUAUACGCAAGUUAGGAAAGAUUAUGUCAGAUACAGUUACUGGUACCGUUAAAUGGUUCAACGAAUCUAAAGGUUUUGGUUUUCUUGAGCGCGAAGGCGGUCCUGAUGUGUUCGUACACUUCUCUGCAAUCACCGGUGAUGGUUUCCGUACUUUAACCGAAGGGCAGAAAGUUCAGUUUACUAUCACCCAAGGCCAAAAAGGCCCUCAGGCUGAGAACGUUGUUCCUGCGUAAUUAGGUUUGUAACAACCUAGCAGUGAAAACACGAAUUAGUAAAUGGUCGGCUUAUGCCGGCCAUUUUUUA